rnacentral:lncRNA from 1 species
GACAACACCUUGGAGGUCCCAAGGUGGUUAGAUUGGUCUCAACUAGGGCCAGGGCCUUUUCAGCACUGGCCCCGACUUGGUGGAACGUGCUGUCACAAGAGACUAGGGCCCUGUGGGACUUGACAUCUUUCCACAGGGCCAGCAAGACAGAGCUGUUCCACUUGGCCUUUGGUUUGGACUCAGCCUGACCCUUAUGUUUUCCCUCCCCUUAUGGUCUUGAUCUAUGGGCUACUAUUAAAAUGAGGCUGCAUUUUAAAUUAUAUUUUAACCUCUAUUUUAAAUUUGUUUAUUUAUUUAUUUUAUUUUUUAUUGUAAUUUUACUGGUGUUAGCCACCCUGAGCCCGGCUCUGACCAGGGAGGGCGGGGUAUAAAUAAAAAUGUAUUAUUAUUAUUAUUAGUCAUUCGCUACCACCAGUGCUCCUGUGCUCGAAUCCUGCUUACUGGUUUCCCACAGGCCACUGUGAGAACAGGAUGUCGGACUAGGUGGGCCACUGGCCUGAUUCAGUCAACUCUUAUGUUUGAUUACACAAACUUUGACCACAAACUUGACAUGAGCCAACAGUGUGACGCGGCAGCUAAAAAAGCCAAUGCAAUUCUGGGCUGCAUCAAUAGGAGUAUAGCAUCUAGAUCAAAGGAAGUAAUAGUGCCACUGUAUUCUGCUCUGGUCAGACCUCACCUGGAGUACUGUGUCCAGUUCUGGGCACCACAGUUCAAGAAGGACACUGACAAACUGGAACGCGUCCAGAGGAGGGCAACCAAAAUGGUCAAAGGCCUGGAAACGAUGCCUUAUGAGGAACGGCUAAGGGAGCUGGGCAUGUUUAGCCUGGAGAAGAGGAGGUUAAGGGGUGAUAUGAUAGCCAUGUUCAAAUAUCUAAAAGGAUGUCACAUAGAGGAGGGAGAAAGGUUGUUUUCUGCUGCUCCAGAGAAGCGGACACGGAGCAAUGGAUCCAAACUACAAGAAAGAAGAUUCCACCUAAACAUUAGGAAGAACUUCCUGACAGUAAGAGCUGUUCGACAGUGGAAUUUGCUGCCAAGGAGUGUGGUGGAGUCUCCUUCUUUGGAGGUCUUUAAGCAGAGGCUUGACAACCAUAUGUCAGGAAUGCUCUGAUGGUGUUUCCUGCUUGGCAGGGGGUUGGACUCGAUGGCCCUUGUGGUCUCUUCCAACUCUAUGAUUCUAUGAUUCUUCUUCUCCUCUGAUGUUGCUGCUUGUGCAAAACUCAUUUGUGCCUCGAGAGCUUUCGAUGCACAAUGCAACUCUUUGCACUUGUGCAGGUCCUUGCAGCCUCUCUGAUCUGGGGGAAGCCUUCGGCUCAGAGGGAGAGAAAUUGACAGAAGAACAAGGAAUAAAGUCUUUCUGUGGUCUUGGAAGCUUGAAGUACAGAGGCUGGUACACAGGCUGAGACCCUACCUGCCCGCAGACUGUCUCGCCAGAGUGGUGCAUGCUCUAGUUAUCUCCCGCUUGGACUACUGAAAUGCGCUCUACGUGGGGCUACCUUUGAAGGUGACCCGGAAACUACAACUAAUCCAGAAUGCGGCAGCUAGACUGGUGAUUGGGAGCGGCCGCCGAGACCAUAUAACACCGGUCUUGAAAGACCUACACUGGCUCCCAGUAAGUUUCCAAGCACAAUUCAAAGUGUUGGUGCUGACCUUUAAAGCCCUAAACGGCCUCGGUCCAGUAUACCUGAAGGAGCGUCUCCACCCCCAUCGUUCUGCCUGGACACUGAGGUCCAGCGCCGAGGGCCUUCUGACGGUUCCCUCGCUGCGAGAAGCCAAGUUACAGGGAAACAGGCAGAGGGCCUUAUCGGUAGUGGUACCCACCCUGUGGAAUGCCCUCCCUCCAGAUGUCAAAGAGAAAAACAACUACCAGACUUUUAGAAGACAUCUGAAGGCAGCCUUGUUUAGGGAAGCUUUUAAUGUUUAAUAGGUUAUUGUAUUUUAGUGUUCUGUUGUUCUGUUGGAAGCCGCCCAGAGUGGCUGGGGAAACCCAGCCAGAUGGGUGGGGUAAAAAUAAAUUAGUAGUAGUAGUAGUAGUAGUAGUAGUAGUAGUAUUAGAGCAAAAGAUGGAGGAGAGAGACUCCUCUUUUCCUGAUCCGAUCGAAGCAGGGAGCUGUGAAGCUUACAGGGACAGGACAGCGCAGAAGACGCUGGGAGAGGAAAAGGCCACGUCAGAUGCUCCGCAAAGGCGCUUCAGACGUUUCCACUACCAGGAGGCCGGAGGACCCCGUAAGGCUUGCAGUCAGCUCCAUCACUUUUGCCGUCAGUGGCUGAAGCCGGAAAGUAACACCAAGGCCCAGAUGUUGGACCUGGUGGUCCUGGAGCAGUUCCUGGCUGUCCUCCCCCCGGAGAUGGAGAACUGGGUCAGGGAGUGUGGAGCGGAGACCAGCUCCCAGGCGGUGGCCCUGGCCGAAGGCUUCCUCCUGAGCCAGGCAGAGGGGAAGAAGCAGGAAGAGGAGAAGCAGGUGAGAUUGUUUUAUUGUCAUCUGAAGAGGUAGACAACAGGAUCAGUAAUACAGCUGUACCUUGGUUGACGAACGCCUUGCGACUCGAAUGUUUUGGCUCCCAAAUGCCGCAAACCCGGAAGUGAGUGUUUGCAAACGUUCUUUGGAACCCGG